AUGAAACACUCCUACGGGAGGCAGCAGUGGGGAAUUUUGGACAAUGGGGGCAACCCUGAUCCAGCAAUGCCGCGUGAGCGAUGAAGGCCUUCGGGUCGUAAAGCUCUGUCCUCAAGGAAGAUAAUGACGGUACUUGAGGAGGAAGCCCCGGCUAACUACGCGCCAGCAGCCGCGGUAAUACGUAGGGGGCUAGCGUUAUCCGGAAUUACUGGGCGUAAAGGGUGCGUAGGUGGUUUCUUAAGUCAGAGGUGAAAGGCUACGGCUCAACCGUAGUAAGCCUUUGGAACUGAGAAACUUGAGUGCAGGAGAGGAGAGUAGAAUUCCUAGUGUAGCGGUGAAAUGCGUAGAUAUUAGGAGGAAUACCAGUUGCGAAGGCGGCUCUCUGGACUGUAACUGACACUGAGGCACGAAAGCGUGGGGAGCAAACAGGAUUAGAAACCCUUGUAGUCCGAAGUUC
rnacentral:rRNA from 1 species